AAAAUGAUGUCCAAUGUGACAUAUGUUAACCUUUCUCUCUGGGUUGAUGUUAUUGUACUACCAUGUCCAAGGGUGCAUCAGUCUCCAAUAGGGUUCUGCUCAUACUAUUUUUUAUUUUAUUAAAGGUCUAUUUUCUCUUGAUGUUCUGCAAGGAACAAUAUUCAACAUCUUACACAUUUCCCCUUUUUCCAUGUUUUGAGGUUCUUAAGAUUUUUUAUUGAUG
rnacentral:misc_RNA from 1 species